UACGUAGGGUGCGAGCGUUAAUCGGAAUUACUGGGCGUAAAGCGCGCGCAGGCGGUUCUUCAAGUCAGAGGUGAAAGCCCAGAGCUCAACUCUGGAAUGGCCUUUGAGACUAGAGAACUAGGGUACGGGAGAGGUGAGUGGAAUUCCGAGUGUAGAGGUGAAAUUCGUAGAUAUUCGGAAGAACACCAGUGGCGAAGGCGGCUCACUGGCCCGUUACCGACGCUCAGGCGCGACAGCGUGGGGAGCAAACAGG
rnacentral:rRNA from 1 species